GUCGUUCAAUUCCAAAUCGCGUACAGAGCGGCGGCCCCAACGCUGUCGGCGGCGGCGGCCCAGAUCCAUCCUCAAGCUGGGCGAAUUCAGAAAAUCUACGAUGGCUCCUGGCGAUCACGUCGCCGGCGGUGCUGUUUGAGGCAGAUCAAAUCAGAUCUCCUCUGCUACUAAGCUCAGCUCGCAGUGUGCUCGUCGCAGGCUCGCAACCUCUCAUCUGAUUCUCCGGUAGCGGUCGGUUCGUCGCCUCCUCUCUCUCUCUCACGCACCAGGAUCAGCUCGUGUCCUCCUCCCCCUCGUCAGCAGCAAGCCGGUGGUGAGCUCCUCGGCUCCUUCCCAACCGCCCCAUGCGACGUGGUGCGAACCUACAAAUCCUCGAUACGGUUGUUCAUUUUCCUGGAUCCAGUAAUGGAGGGCGGAAGCGUGACAUCGCCUUUAGGAGUGCCCAUGGUUGCAAUGACCACAGCAUGUGCGCCAGCACUAUCAGCUGUGGAAUCGAUCAACAUCAUUCGAAAUCAAGAUUACAACAAUGCUACCUUGUUUGCAGAGAUUAAUUCACCCAUGCUUCUCAUUGAUGAUUUCAGUACUCCAAAAAAGAAAGAAUCAUUCUCUCAAGAGCUAGGUAGAUUGAACUGAUCAAGUGUAUAAGAGUUCAUGGAGGUUAAAAACUCUCGUAUAGAAGCUGGAAUGCCAGUGGAUGAAGCUCGAUCAACAGGAAGCACUAAAACAGGAUGCAAAAUGAUACUCAUAGAUCUUUUCUGUCAUGUACUAUCAAGAUGCUUGUUGGACGGUGAUAGUUUCAGUCAUUUACACUUGGGUCUGCUGGCCAUGUACUAAAAGUGUUCUAUGUAUACCUCCUAUGUUGUAUUCUCAUGUACUCAAAUACUCAAAAUGAUGUGGUGAUAAUUCCAGUCCUUAAUUUGCUC